ACGGGAGGCAGCAGUGGGGAAUUUUGCGCAAUGGGGGGAACCCUGACGCAGCAACGCCGCGUGCGGGAAGAAGGCCUUCGGGUUGUAAACCGCUUUCAGCAGGGAAGACGAACGACGGUACCUGCAGAAGAAGCCCCGGCUAACUACGUGCCAGCAGCCGCGGUAACACGUAGGGGGCGAGCGUUAUCCGGAUUCAUUGGGCGUAAAGCGCGCGUAGGCGGCCGCUCAAGCGGGACCUCUAACCCCGGGGCUCAACCCCGGGCCGGGUCCCGAACUGGGCGGCUCGAGUGCGGUAGAGGCAGGCGGAAUUCCCGGUGUAGCGGUGGAAUGCGCAGAUAUCGGGAAGAACACCGAUGGCGAAGGCAGCCUGCUGGGCCGUCACUGACGCUGAGGCGCGAAAGCCGGGGGAGCGAACAGGAUUAGAUACCCUGGUA
rnacentral:rRNA from 1 species